rnacentral:rRNA from 1 species
GGUGAACGCUGGCGGCGUGCCUAAUACAUGCAAGUCGAGCGAAUGGAUUAAGAGCUUGCUCUUAUGAAGUUAGCGGCGGACGGGUGAGUAACACGUGGGUAACCUGCCCAUAAGACUGGGAUAACUCCGGGAAACCGGGGCUAAUACCGGAUAACAUUUUGAACCGCAUGGUUCGAAAUUGAAAGGCGGCUUCGGCUGUCACUUAUGGAUGGACCCGCGUCGCAUUAGCUAGUUGGUGAGGUAACGGCUCACCAAGGCAACGAUGCGUAGCCGACCUGAGAGGGUGAUCGGCCACACUGGGACUGAGACAUGGCCCAGACUCCUACGGGAGGCAGCAGUAGGGAAUCUUCCGCAAUGGACGAAAGUCUGACGGAGCAACGCCGCGUGAGUGGUGAAGGCUUUCGGGUCGUAAAACUCUGUUGUUAGGGAAGAACAAGUGCUAGUUGAAUAAGCUGGCACCUUGACGGUACCUAACCAGAAAGCCACGGCUAACUACGUGCCAGCCGCCGCGGUAA